ensembl:lncRNA
CUUACUUUGCUCACAUGACAAUACAGAUAAUGCGGAUCAGAACUUGGUAGCUCAUGACAUUAUUUUUAGAUGGGAAAUCUAAAACAUUCCCUGGUGUUCACUGAGGAAUUCACAUUUAUUAAGUUCCUACCAUGAACCUGAGCUAAACAACAAACUGAACACUGCUUUAAUGCAGAUGUAAGCUAGUGAGGAAGAUAGAUAUGAAUCAUAUAAUUUUACAAAAAGUAGGGGGGAGGGAGAAGAAAGCUGCAAUUCUGAGAGCUGAUAUUAAGAUCCACAGUGGGAAGAUUUUUGGUCAUUUAAGACUUAGGAACAAAGACAAUCAACUUGUAACAAGACAGAAGGAAGAAGAAAAUAUGUGAUGAAGUGCAAGGGUUUUUUGGCAAGAGUCAAAGAUCCCUCAGCUCUCAUUUAUUUGGUAAAGAAUGACAUGUUGGUGGGCAUGAAUACUGCUUGAAGAGUGUUGCCAAGAAUUGGGAGUGGAAGAAAUUGACAAGAAACUAUUUUCAAUUCAAGCGAAAGAUUGAUUUGUGCAGCAUAAGCAACACUGGAAGCGGAACUUGCACGGUUUAACCAUGGUACUACUGUUCUGCCUUUUCUCAGCAUUGUGACCUGGGACAAACUAAUGCCUCUGAGACUUGGUUUCCUCGUCACUAAAAUGAAGAUGAUUUUUUUUUCUUUUUAAAUACCUGACUCCAUGAAUAAGCUUCCAAGGCAUCUGUGACAAAUUACCACUAACUUAAUGGCUUAACCAACACAUUUUUUUUUUUUUUAAUUUUAUGGUUCUGAAGGCCAGAAGUAUAAACUGGAUUGGCAGAGGGGGUUCUGUCUGGAGGUUCAAGAAGAGAAUCCAUUCCCCUCCCUUUUCCAGCUUCUAGAGGCUGUCUACAUACCUUGGCUCGUCUUCACCAUUCCCCUCCAGCCUCUACGUUCAUCACCACGUCUCCUUCUCCAUCUCUGACCCUCCUGCCUCUUAAGGACCUUUGAGAUUAUAGUGGACCCAUCUGGAUAAUUCAGAAAAUGUUCUCAUUUUAAGACCUUUAACUUAAUCACAUCAGCCAAGUCUCUCUGGCCACGUAGAAUAACAUUCAUAAAUUUGUGGGAUUAGGACGCAAACACCUUUCCAGGGCAUUGUUCUGCCUGCUGUUGUAAAGAUGGCAUUACCUUGUAAAGCACUGAACAAAUGCUGUCAGAUGCCAAUGAACAAAUGCUGCUGCUUCUGACUUGUCUCCCUUGUCUCGCUGUUGUUGACUGAAUUCUCAUAUACCUCCAGGAAAAUGUCCCAGCUCCCUAGCACUGCCUGAAACAUGCACAGAAACUCAUUCUGACCCUAAGUGUUUGAGUUAAAGCG